GAUGAACGCUGGCGGCGUGCCUAAUACAUGCAAGUCGAGCGAAUGGAUUAAGAGCUUGCUCUUAUGAAGUUAGCGGCGGACGGGUGAGUAACACGUGGGUAACCUGCCCAUAAGACUGGGAUAACUCCGGGAAACCGGGGCUAAUACCGGAUAACAUUUUGAACCGCAUGGUUCGAAAUUGAAAGGCGGCUUCGGCUGUCCCUUAUGGAUGGACCCGCGUCGCAUUAGCUAGUUGGUGAGGUAACGGCUCAACAAGGCAACGAUGCGUAGCCGACCGGAGAGGGUGAUCGGCCACACUGGGACUGAGACACGGCCCAGACUCCUACGGGAGGCAGCAGUAGGGAAUCUUCCGAAAUGGACGAAAGUCUGACGGAGCAACGCCGCGUGAGUGAUGAAGGCUUUCGGGUCGUAAAACUCUGUUGUUAGGGAAGAACAAGUACGAGAGUAACUGCUCGUACCUUGACGGUACCUAACCAGAAAGCCACGGCUAACUACGUGCCAGCCGCCGCGGUAA
rnacentral:rRNA from 1 species